CUCUUUUAGAAUCGGUUUGAAAUUAGUUUUAAGUUGAUAAAAUGUUUACGGAGUUUGCGGGGAUAUGUAUUCCUUAGCCUUACAACUAACGAAAAAUAUGAAAAGUAAUUAAGCAAAUAAAGGGAGAGAGAGAAAGAGAGAGAGAGAGAGAGAUUGGGUCCAAACCGGUUUCUGUCUGCAUGGAUAAAAAAUUUGGACCCACAUGUUUUGGGUCUUUUACCCAUUUGUCUUUUUGGGACUUUGACCCAUUCCACCUGUCCUAAGCCUAUUACAAAAAUAAAUGCAAAACAGAUAUACUACAAGGACUUAGACCCAAAAUUACAAAAUACAAAGCAAAGAAUAAAAUAAUGUGGGCUUCUUGGCCCAACUUCUUCCACUCCUUGGUUUGCUUCGAAUUUCGCUCCAUGAUGUGUUCAUCGGUUUACGGGAUGAUUGACUCGAAAUGGAAAAAAUUUAAGCCUUUGCGGAUUUCUUCAAAUGCAGGGAUGGAAUGAGUUCGUGAUGAAGUUGGACAAAUUCCACAUGCAAUAACAAUAAACAAAAAGUGAGUAGAAGAUCGACUAUUUUGUAAAAGAGGAGGUCAAAUAAUUUAAACUUAAUACAAGUGAAAAUUCCUAUAGAUAGCAGUGAAUAGCGAACAGAAGCAAGACUCCACCGAUGAACUUUUUAAUUAACUGAAGACCCUUGACUCCGACCUAAAAUUUCACACCCAGUUGAAUGAAAAUGAGCAUAAAAACACACAAGUAUAUUCUGUUCCUAUCAUUUAAUGGAAUCCCGAAGGAUCAAAAUUUAAAGCAUGCUCCUAAAGUACCACGAAACUGAACGAAUAGUUAUUUUAAAAAAAUACGUCAUAAUGAUUCAUCAAAUGAACUUACUUGCAGACAAUACACAUAUCCAACAUCAACUCCGAAUGACUCUUCCUAUUUAAAAGAUAAGAAGAGCGCACUUGACAUCAUCAUGAAAAGAAUUUAAAGCACAAAUACCUCAGACAAAAUGCAUUGACAAAUUAGUUGUUUUCAAAAUUUGGCAAAUCAUAAACCCAAAUUCACUGAAUCAGUUCACGGAGGAAUAAAUAAAACGACAUCUAACAUCUAGCAUAUUCAAAAUAUGCAUAAAAGUACAUAUAUAUUUUUUAACGCGUUGAAGCUAACAUUGAACAACCAUGCGAUGUAUGACUACCAAAUUAAUUUUUACACCUUUAAAUUAAUAGGCAGGCCACUUCAAAUUUCCUAAUUAAGGCACAUAAACAAAGAAUUACCUAUGGCCUUUACAUAAAAAAAAAAAAAAAAAGAGAACAAAUAGUAAAAAAAGAUGAAAAAGAAGAACUAUCGACAAUAAAGGCUCGUAUAGCCUUUGCAUACAAAAGUGAACAACAAACGCAGUACUAAUUGCUCUUAGGAAAAAAGUUGGAAAGGGAAAUAUACAGAUCAUUUUGGGGAAUGGAAAUAAAGUCUACGCUUCCAGAAUAACUUGAUAUAAUGACCAAGAAUACAAAAUAGUAAUAGGCGCAACAAGAACUUUGACCAAUAGUUAAAUCAACAAACCAAUUAAGAAUAUAGACAUCUUAACUCAUUUGCUCAACUUGAGAUGCAGAUUGAGUAUUAUAUAAUGAAAUAUGUUUGAUGACAUUCGAGAAACAAAAUCAAUUACGAGAUAUCAACGAAACAAAAUUUUGAACAAUCGAUAACAAAUUAGCAAACAACCAACCUAGUGAUGAUUUUCGACAUCAACAGGAAAAUCAGAAAAUAAUGACAAAGAGAAUAGUUAACGGAGAGAGUAUUACCUUUCCUUGAGCAGCGAAAGUGGGACACAAAGACGAGAAAAGAUAACGAAUCAAGCCUUGAGUGAGGAUAAACUAACGAUACGGGAACAGAGUGAGAAUAGGAGUUCUCGAUUGAACUAGAACGAGCUCAGCCUUGAAUAUCUUCCUGAUUUUUUAGCUAAUACUUUCUUACUAUUAUCCACAAUUUUUCUUUCUGUCUAAUUUUUCUAUUAGUUCAAAAUUUCCUCCUCAAAAUUCUCUUGCUAAAAAAAACCUCCUCCCACAAUGAGAAGAAAAAGAACACAUAUAGAGGGGCUACUAGGGUUAUAAAUUUGGGAGGGAAAAGGGUAAAAUCGCUAGCUAGAAAUUCAAAGGCUUUUCACCAAAAAAAGGCAGACACCCUUUUCUUAAGAUUUCAAACUAUUUUGGAAGAUAAAAGGGGAGAUGGAUGCUCUUGAUCAACUUUUCGUCGUGGACUCUCGAUGUGGCGUGAUAUAACGCUGUGAGGAAGAAAAUGGCAGGCGGCUUUACCAUACGGGAUCAAAAAAAGUAGAAAACGAUGCCUGAUCACGCAGACGUGAACUUUAUCAUGUAUUUAUCAUAUAUUCGUGAACGUUGGAAGAGGCUACUCAUAAUGUCGUCCUCACGCCGUGUAGACGCCGUUUUGGAAUUGUUGAUUUGUUACUGCUGUCACGUUUUGGUCUCUUUAUCGUAAGGGAAAGUGAAGCUAGGGCCGAGU
rnacentral:lncRNA from 1 species